ACGGGAGGCAGCAGUGAGGAAUAUUGGUCAAUGGGCGGAAGCCUGAACCAGCCAAGUCGCGUGAAGGAUGAAGGUAUUAUGUAUUGUAAACUUCUUUAGCAGCAGAGUAAUAAGGAGGUCGAGACCUCCGAUGCAAGUAUGCUGAAAAUAAGGAUCGGCUAACUCCGUGCCAGCAGCCGCGGUAAUACGGAGGAUCCGAGCGUUAUCCGGAUUUAUUGGGUUUAAAGGGUGCGCAGGCGGCCCUGUAAGUCAGCGGUUAAAUCGUGAGGCUCAACCUCAUCCCGCCGUUGAUACUGCAGGGCUUGAUUGCGGUCGAGGUUGGCGGAAUUCGUCGUGUAGCGGUGAAAUGCAUAGAUAUGACGAAGAACACCGAUUGCGUAGGCAGCUGACCAGUCCGUAAAUGACGCUCAUGCACGAAAGUGCGGGGAUCGAACAGGAUUAGAUACCCUGGUA
rnacentral:rRNA from 1 species